rnacentral:rRNA from 1 species
UACAGAGGGUGCGAGCGUUAAUCGGAAUUACUGGGCGUAAAGAGCGUGUAGGCGGCUUUACAGGUCCGUUGUGAAAACUCGAGGCUCAACCUCGAGACGCCGGUGGAAACCGUAAGGCUAGAGUCCGGAAGAGGAGAGUGGAAUUCCUGGUGGUAGCGGUGAAAUGCGCAGAUAUCAGGAGGAACACCCGUGGCGAAAGCGGCUCUCUGGGACGGUACUGACGCUGAGACGCGAAACGUGGGGAGCAAACAGG